rnacentral:tRNA from 1 species
CAGAAUCUGCUACACAAGCAAUUGGGCCCAUACCCCAAAAACGGCCAACCCGCCUUCUGAUA